rnacentral:tRNA from 1 species
GUGUGGCGGCCCGGGAGAGCAUUCGCCCUGUAAGCGAGGUGUCCCGGGUUCGAGUCCCGGACUGGCUGCACA